rnacentral:rRNA from 1 species
GACGAACGCUGGCGGCGUGCCUAACACAUGCAAGUCGAACGGAAAGGCCCUACGUGUGUGGGGUGCUCGAGUGGCAAAGGGGUGAGUAACACGUGAGUAACCUGCCCUUGUCUUUGGGAUAACUUCAGGAAACUGGGGCUACUACCGUAUAGCAGCUCCUGCUCCAUGGUGGGGUGUGGAAGGUUUAGGCGGUUGGGGAUGGACUCGCGGCUGAUCAGCUUGUUGGUGGGGUAGUGGCUUACCAAGGCAUUGACGGGUAGCCGGCCUGAGAGGGUGACCGGGCACAUGGGGACUGCGGUACGGCCCAGAGUGCUAGGGGAGGCAGGAGUGGGGAAUAUUGCCCAAUCGGGCGAAGCCGGAUGAAGCAACGCCGCGUGCGGGAUGACGGCCUUUGGGUUGUAAUAAGCAUUCGCCUGUGACGAAGCGUGAGUGACGGUACUGGGUAAAGAAGCACCGGCUAACUACGUG